rnacentral:rRNA from 1 species
UACGUAGGGGGCUAGCGUUGUCCGGAUUUAUUGGGCGUAAAGCGCGUGUAGGCGGCCAGAUAGGUCUGCUGUGAAAACUCGAGGCUCAACCUCGAGCUGUCGGCGGAAACCAUCCGGCUAGAGUCCGGAAGAGGAGAGUGGAAUUCCCGGUGUAGCGGUGAAAUGCGCAGAUAUCGGGAAGAACACCAGUGGCGAAGGCGGCUCUCUGGGACGGUACUGACGCUGAGACGCGAAAGCGUGGGGAGCGAACAGG